CCUACGGGGGGCAGCAGUAGGGAAUUUUCGGCAACGGGGGGAACCCUGACCGAGCAACGCCGCGUGAACGAAGAAGUUAUUCGUAAUGUAAAGUUCUUUUAACAGGGAAGCAAGAGAAAUUUGACGGUACCUGAAGAAUAAGCACCGGCUAACUACGUGCCAGCAGCCGCGGUAAUACGUAGGGAGCGAGCGUUAUCCGGAAUUAUUGGGCGUAAAGGGUGCGUAGAUGGCAUAGUAAGUCUUUUGUAAAAAUGCUGGGCUAAACCCAGUAGGGAAAAAGAUACUGCAAAGCUAGAGUAUGACAGAGGAAAGUGGAACUACAGGUGUGGCGGUAAAAUGCGUGAAAAUGAGUAAGAAAACCAGUGGCGAAGGCGGCUUGCGGAGUCGAUACGGACAUUGAGGCACGAAAGCGUGGGGGGCAAACAGGAUUAGAUACCCGAGUAGUC
rnacentral:rRNA from 1 species